GAUUGACUUCUUCAGUCACAUAAUUUGGGGAGAUUUGUCAAGGUCUCACAUGAAGGAAGAUGUUCACCCUGAGGACAAGGCCCCUGCAUGCAUUCUCAGGACGUUCAUGUUUUCUUUACCCAUUCCCUUCCAUUCAAAUGGUUGUUGCAAGUAGAAAAUGAGUCACAGAUGUACAAAGACAUUAGAAGGCUGCCUGCAACAUAGAAGCAAAAUGCUCCAGGAGGCUGACCUGAAUGACAUACAUCAGUGAACUCCUUUGGCCUCUGUCAGACCCACCAAAUCAGAAAAUCUUACACUCCUACAAGAAAUUCAUGGUAAGAUGAAAGAGCCACAUCUGGGGCUGGGCACCUGCAGGCACAGACCCAUUCACCUGCCACUUUUGCAGUAGUGUCUUUCCCUCAGCUCACACCCACAUCUCCGUGGGGGCAGGAGCCCCUAGGAUCGGCUGAUGAAGGAGGUAAAAGGCCAAACUUGGUUUACAGAGGGGUUGGCUCUUUAUAUGGGUAUAAGCAGUAUAGGGCCUGCUUACUACAGCUCUGUUCAGGGGUGGUCUGAAAGAAAGACUGAAGAGAAAUUCUUCUAACAAGCAGAGAUCUGGGAAGUGUACAUGUUUAUCCACUUCGUGUGCAAAGAGAAGUGGUGUACAGUAAGAACACAUGUGGGCUCAUUGUCAGUAAAAAAAAAAUGGCUUGUCCAGUUAACCAGAGCCAGGAAGGAGAAAGUUUGGAGGAUUAGGGUUGAAGAGACCUAGGGAAGAAGUGCGUGAAAGCCUCUUUGAGAGAGAUAAUGUGUGACAAGGUUUGUAUCAAAUAUUAAUGCUCAACAGAGAGUAUCUUCCAGGGAAAAGGCACUACAACCCAGUAGGCAAAAGGACCCAGCCAGUUGACAUCAGUCAUUGGUCACUCUGAUGCUAACAAAUGGACCUCACACCAUGGCAGCAGAGAUGGAAGCUAUGCAUAGAUCCAACAGCAUGGGCGCCCUCUUACUAAGACUGAUCUGCCACCCUGUAUGUCCAGCCUUGUAGGAACAUAGACCAAUACUGAGCCACUGAUUCAGCACAUCCUCUGUGGAGACCAACCAGCCACUUGGUGGCAAGAGAUUACAUUGGAACCCUCUCAUCUCAGAAGGAGCAGUGCUUCGUGUUGACUGAAUCAACAUGUGCACCAGAUACAAGACUCCCUUUUCUGCCUGGAAUAAUCUGCCAGUAUGACUCUCAAAAGGCUUAACUCACGGACAUAGGAUCCCAUGUAGCACUGCAUUGGAUUGAGAGAUAGAGAACUCAGUUAAAAACAAGGAGGUGUGGCAGUGGGCCCUUGACUAUGGUAUCCCCUGGCCUUAUCACAUCCUAUGUCACUCAGAAGUUGAGAUCUGAAAGAGUGAAAAAAAAGCUGCUUACUAGCCACUGAGGACCCAGCUUGGAGAUGAUAAGCUGUGAAGAUGGGCGCUGUUCUCCAGACAUAAUAUAUAUGUCCUAAAUCAACAACCUUUCCCUAGAGCUGUGUCCCCAGUAGAUAGCAAGUGCGAGUCUGGAAAUCAAAGAGUAGAAAUAGGCAUAGCUCGGCUUAUAUCACUUCAAGUGACCAAUGUAGGGAAUUUAUGCUUCUUACUACACUCCCAGGCUUUUGUGGUUUAGAAGUCCUAGUUUCUAAAGGGAGAACAUUUCCACCAGGAAACUCAGCAGGAGACCCAUUAAGCUUUAAGCUAUGCUUACUGAAUGUCGCUCAUGCCAAAGCCUAUCAGAAAAGGGAAAUAGCCUUCAUCCCAGCAGGAGUAAUGGGCCCUGAUGAUCAGGAGGAGGUGGGGCUGCUGUUACUCCCUGGGAUUCUCUUGGAACCCUCUUGCCUAAUUUCAACAAAAAAUGGACAAAUGCAGUGGUCAUGGCCUGAGAAAGGCUCAGAUCUUACUGUUGAAGGUGGAGGUGUCCCCAACAGGUAAGCCUCUUAGACCAUCAGAGGUGUUAGCCAAGGGUGAGGAGAAUCUAGAAUGAGUAGGGGAGGAGAGAAAUGAUGUGUGUAGUUACCUUGAAACUGCAGCAUGGGAGUUGGGGGGGUUCUGGGGCUAUAAUUCCUGUCACUGGCCUUCCUCUUGUUAAGUUUACCUAGGAAAACAGGCCAGCGAGAAUCUUGGAGGGGCUGUUCCCAAGUUUUGCUAUAAAAUGAAAGUGAAUCCAAGUGGCCUGGGGCUGAAUCUGAGUUCAUGCUGUGGGCACUGCCCAGAUGCCUUGUCAGAGCUAAGAUCAUUCUCCCAGCUACUGAGAGUGUGGGUAACCUGUGAUGCUUAGCUGAGUCCCUCUCCAGGAAUUGCCUUUAGCAAAAAAUGAGCCACCUCUCUUCACCCAGACCACACUCCCCUCCCCAGGGAAUGUACAGCCCAAUUCAGUGUGUGGUCAGUGCAGAAGCAGAAAGGCUCAAUUUGCCUGCAUCUAGUGAGACAUCUAGGAGGGUUCAUCCUACUCCCUGAACUCCCCAUGGGGUUGACUGAGGCCUUCGUCACAACUUCAUUGCAGUUCAUACCUCCCUUUGCCCCAUCCCACUUCUUUCAUUCUGCAUGGGCAUCGAUCUUGAUCGAGGCCACUCCCCAGAACACUCCCUGCCUGCAUGUCUCUCUCAGGAGUCUGCUGCCUGGGGGUUGGAUUUAAGACACAUGCUGGUCUUCCCCUAGGAGUAAUUUCCCUGUCCACACUUUUGAUCAAAUUUCCUUGAAUUAUCUUAAUUUGAGUGUGCCCUCUGAAUUUUGAUGGGAUCUGGACUGACGGGGCAGGGUAUUGGGCUAGGGACAUGACUGGCAGGUAAGUCUGCCUAAUUCUGAGGCUCAGUAUUAGUAGGACUCUUUACUGACACAUGGAAUUUGUAUUCUCAAACGUACCAAAAUCAGCUUACUAAAGAUAUUUUGGUCUCCACCUUAAUUCUUUGUUUGUUAAAAGUAAUGGCAAAAACCACAAUUCCUUUUGUACCGACCUAAUCAACUAUUCAGAACCUGAAUGGAAGCCACUCCUUGGUGGUUCCCUUAGAAACCUCAGCCCCAUCCAGAGCCCUUGUAUCAGAUUUGGAUGGAAAGGGCAUGUGUUUAGCCCGUUCAAGGGUGACUUUUAGACAGUCCUCUCUCUCUCUCUGUGUGUGUGUGUGUGUGUGUGUGUGUGUGUGUGUGUGUGUGUGUGUAGGUUCAGCCUUUUCUCACUAAGACAGUUAUUUUCACCCAUAGGCAGGCACCCUGAUGGGAGAGGCAGGAUGAAUGGAUCUCUUUGAUACUCAAAGUUUUUUAAGCCAUUGAUGUGUUAUGUGUCUAAAAUAAUAUUCUUUUUUGAAAAAUUAUUGUUUCAUGAUAUGAUUAAUAAAUUAUUUUCUUUGUUAAAUAUCGAUUAAAAAUUAUAUUAAUAAUUAUGUUAAUAAUUAAGAAUUAUAGAUAAGGAUAAAAUUCCUUUUGACUGUUACAGCAGUCCACUCCCAAGAGAAUAAACUGUUACCUUCCAGACCUUUUCAAAAUUGACAGGAUCUAUUUAAAGUCCUGUAUUUUAUUUGACCAGAAAAUUCUAUUUUUCAGAUGUUACAUUUAAGAAAACUUCUUGAAUGUACAUGACAAAGAAUGAACAAGCAUAUUUAUUGCAACAUUGUUUAUAAUAGCAAUAAAGGUAAGCAACUUAAUAGGGGACUAAAUAAAUUGUGGUAUAUUUUUACAAUGACAGAGUAUACAGUAGUAAAAACAGUGAGGUGGAGCCCUAAGUGCUAACUUGGAAAAAGCUUCAGGAAAUAUCACUGAGUGAAAAAGGAGAUUGCAGAAUGAUAAAUGUAAUGUGAUGCAUUUUAUCAGGGCUAUUUAGGAAAAUUAUGGCCUAAUAGAAAUGACCUGGGCUGAGUGAGAGGAGCAGAAAUGGGGAGAGUGAUUAUUGCCCCUCGCUUGCUUUGCCUCCUUUAGCCAUUUCUUCCUGUUCUCUCAAUCAUUCUUUCCCCUCUUUCACUCCACAUUCUUUCCUUUCUUCAUCACUUCUUUUCAUAGUUAAAAUUGAAGCCAAGUCUACCCUCUAGGAAUUGUAUGUGUUUGUGCUCAUUAACAACCAGUUGAACUCUGUUGAUUAGCAAUAUGGUCAAUCCAAACUGGUUGUUAAAGUGUCAAAAUAAAUGGAUCCAAUACCUGCACCCGGGCUCACAUGAUCUCGUUGAUGAAUAAUUAAUAUAGCCUCAAUAUGAUGCAUUAUAUGGAAACCUGCCUGCUUUGGCUACUGUGAAAGCUUAAAAAUAAACCAACCACUUGACAAAGUUACAAAAAAAUAUAUAAAAAAGAAAUUUGCAGUAUGGGUUGAAUGAAUAAUAAAUAUAUAGUGUUUGCAUUAAAGAAAGUACCAGUGGCAUUGUACUUUGUGUUAUUAUUAGAGUGUGUAGAUUAUUUGAUUUGAAGAAU
rnacentral:lncRNA from 1 species